CUCCCCGCGGACCCUCAGCCUCCUUGGUGCAGUGGUUCUUAACAGUUCAACAGUUCUCUAGCAUAAUUGUGAAAUGUUUAGGACCACUUGACCAGCGAGGCCCGGGCAUCGGCCGGCAGC
rnacentral:pre_miRNA from 12 species